rnacentral:rRNA from 1 species
UACGUAGGUGGCAAGCGUUGUCCGGAAUUAUUGGGCGUAAAGCGCGCGCAGGCGGUCCUUUUAAGUCUGAUGUGAAAGCCCACGGCUCAACCGUGGAGGGUCAUUGGAAACUGGGGGACUGAGUGCAGGAGAGAAGAGUGGAAUUCCACGUGUAGCGGUGGAAUGCGUAGAGAUCCGGAAGAACACCGGUGGCGAAGGCGGUCUGCUGGGCAGUUGCUGACGCUGAUGCGCGACAGCGUGGGGAGCAAACAGG